rnacentral:lncRNA from 1 species
GAAGGUUGCCCUAAAGUGAUGUUUUGGACGCUAUAAAUAGAAAAGAAAGCAAAAGGCAAAGAGUGACACACUUUCGCCUCUUCUCCUCCACUCAUAGCUGUGCAUAUCCAAGCAACAGACCACCAAAAAGUAACCAAUCAAGGAAGCAACGAGCACUUAUCAAGAAGAAGAGGAUGAGCUUGCAAAACCAAUAAGAAGGAGAGAUGGGAGCUGAAUCAAAAAGUCUUGGCAUCGAAUUCAAGGACGGUUGCAAGAAAGGAAGAAAAAUCCAAGUGUAACUUGUAUCUCAUGCCUUUAUCUCUUUAUUUCUAUUGGAAUAUUUUUAUGAAUGUUGUAUUAAUAUUCAUGCAUGACUAAACUUUAAAUCUAGUUAAGGGAACUAUUUAUUAGAUUAAUGUGUUUAAGAAUGGUUUGAUUUAUUCUUAUAUAUGCCUAUAGUUUCUUUAUUUAGUACAUGUAAUCUUAAUGUGCAAUGUUCAAAAAUUUAUUUUCACUAAUUUUUCAUUUAAAAAUUUAAUCAUAAAUCCUAACCAACGAUGGAAAAUAAUUUUAUUAUUGCCCACCCAGACUUGUAAAAUAAGUGGAAAUCUUGUAAAUUCAAGCAAAAACCCAAAAUUAAGCCAAAUCCUCCCUGAAUUGGACCAAACUAGCCCAUAACCGAUUAGAACUGUCUAGAAGUGCAAAAAUCCCCAUUGGGUCCUAAGCCCCUUCUCUCCUUCCAGUUAACGCUGGCCCCAGGAGCUCUCCCCUCCCUUGGUCUCGAUUUUUCGACGACGGUAGCCUUCAACCGACAGGCGUGAUCUCUUCUUCUCCUUAGCAGUAGCUCCGAUCGCUGCUUUCCCUAUCUCCGGCCUGCCCGUCUUAGCGCAAAAACAAGAGAGACAGACCCCUAUUUGGUAUCGCGGCCGACCUCAAGCAAUUUUCGACUGCUCUUCAAUUAGCUAAGCCGAUUAUCCUCCCUCUUCACUCAUUUGCAAGUUAUUUUGUAUAGAUUGGGCGAAGUAUUGAAGGAAUUGAUCAAAUGAAACUUAGGGAUUUGAGGACAAAAGUUUGGAUUUCGUUAGAUAUAGACAUAAUUCGUAGUAGCUGGCUAUAGAACUAAUCCUAUAUGGAAUUUGCUACGUUUUGGCAUAUGAGUUGCAAGAUUCUGGAAUCAUGGCACCUCCAGCCACCACGAAGGGCAGCAAUGGCAGAGGCUCCGGUGACUGGAAUUCCUCAUAGACAAUAUGUUCCAAUUUUUAUAUAGAUUCUAGUUUUGCAAUUAGUUUUGUACUUUGAUAUUAUUUAGUGCUCGAAUCCUUAGACGACAGAAAUCGAAAAUUA